rnacentral:rRNA from 1 species
CCUACGGGGGGCAGCAGUCGAGAAUUUUUCUCAAUGGGGGAAACCCUGAAGGAGCGACGCCGCGUGGGGGAUGAAUGGCUUCGGCCCGUAAACCCCUGUCAUCUGCGAGCAAUAACUGCAUGCAAAUAGCCUGCGGUCUGAUAGUAGCAGAAGAGGAAGAGACGGCUAACUCUGUGCCAGCAGCCGCGGUAAUACAGAGGUCUCGAGCGUUGUUCGGAAUUACUGGGCGUAAAGGGUGCGUAUGUGGCCAAAAAAGUCCGAUGUGAAAUCUCGAAGCUUAACUCCGAAACUGCAUUGGAUACUGAUUGGCUAGAGAUGUGGAAGGGAGAAUGGAAUUCUCGGUGUAGCAGUGAAAUGCGUAGAUAUCGAGAGGAACACCAGUGGCGAAGGCGAUUCUCUGGACACGUUCUGACACUGAGGCACGAAAGCCAAGGGAGCAAACGGGAUUAGAUACCCUUGUAGUC